GACAGAGGGUGCAAGCGUUGUUCGGAAUUAUUGGGCGUAAAGGGCGCGUAGGUGGCUCUGUAAGUCAACUGUGAAAGCCCUGGGCUUAACCCAGGAAGUGCAGCUGAUACUGCAAAGCUUGAGUCUCGGAGAGGGUGGUGGAAUUCCCAGUGUAGAGGUGAAAUUCGUAGAUAUUCGGAAGAACACCAGUGGCGAAGGCGGCUCACUGGCCCGGUACUGACGCUGAGGUGCGAAAGCGUGGGGAGCAAACAGG
rnacentral:rRNA from 1 species